rnacentral:rRNA from 1 species
CGGCACGGGUGAAUAACACGUAUCCAACCUGCCGUCUACUCUUGGACAGCCUUCUGAAAGGAAGAUUAAUACAAGAUGGCAUCAUGAGUCCGCAUGUUCACAUGAUUAAAGGUGUUCCGGUAGACGAUGGGGAUGCGUUCCAUUAGAUAGUAGGCGGGGUAACGGCCCACCUAGUCUUCGAUGGAUAGGGGUUCUGAGAGGAAGGUCCCCCACAUUGGAACUGAGACACGGUCCAA